GACGAACGCUGGCGGCGUGCUUAACACAUGCAAGUCGAACGAUGAAGCUGGAGCUUGCUCCGGUGGAUUAGUGGCGAACGGGUGAGUAACACGUGAGCAAUCUGCCCUUGACUCUGGGAUAACUGCGGGAAACUGUAGCUAAUACCGGAUACUUUCCUUGGUGGGCAUCCACUGGGGAAGAAAGAAUUUCGGUCAAGGAUGAGCUCGCGGCCUAUCAGCUAGUUGGUGAGGUAAUGGCUCACCAAGGCGACGACGGGUAGCCGGCCUGAGAGGGUGACCGGCCACACUGGAACUGAGACACUGUCCAGACUCCUACGGGAGGCAGCAGUGGGGAAUAUUGCACAACGGGCGAAAGCCUGAUGCAGCAACGCCGCGUGAGGGACGAAGGCCUUCGGGUUGUAAACCUCUUUUAGCAGGGAAGAAGCGAAAGUGACGGUACCUGCAGAAAAAGCACCGGCUAACUACGUGCCAGCCGCCGCAGUAA
rnacentral:rRNA from 1 species